rnacentral:rRNA from 1 species
CCUGCCAGUAGUCAUAUGCUUGUCUUAAAGAUUAAGCCAUGCAUGUCUAAGUAUAAGUAUUAUACCUCGAAACUGCGAAUGGCUCAUUAAAUCAGUUAUAGUUUACUUGAUGGCUUACUCUACUUGGAUAACUGUAGUAAUUCUAGAGCUAAUACAUGCAAAACACCCCGACUUUUUGGAAGGGGUGCAAAUGUUAGUUACAAACCUAAUGGGUUCGCCCUUAUUUGGUGAGUCUGGACAUUUCGACGAUCGUAUGGCCUUGAGACGGGGAAUUAGGGUUCGAUUCCGGAGAGGGAGCCUUAAAAACGGCUACCACUUCCAAGGAAGGCAGCAGGCGCGCAAAUUACCCAAUCCUGAUACAGGGAGGUAGUGACAAGAAAUAACGAUGCUGGUCAUUUAAUGACUAGCAAUCGGAAUGAGUACAAUGCAAAUAUCUUAACGAGGAACAAUUGGAGGACAAGUCUGGUGCCAGCACCCGCGGUAAUUCCAGCUCCAAUAGCGUAUAUUAAAGUUGUUGCGGUUAAAAAGCUCGUAGUUGGAUUGAAGGGCAGUUCUGUCUGUAGUCUUGCCCCCAAAGGGUAGACUUGCAGGUAGUCUGUUCAAUAUAUGCUCGGAUCUUGCUCUUCUGGCCUUAACUGGUUGGGAGGGUGGUUCUGAGCCGUUUACUUUGAAAAAAUUAGGGUGUUCAAAGCAGGCUAUUUUAUGCCUUGAAUAGAUUAGCAUGGGAUAAUGAAACACGACCUAGUUGCCGUUUCGUUGGGGUUGGGCAGCUAGGUAAUGAUCAAUAGGGACGGUCGGGGCUAUUCAUAUUUAAUUGUUAGAGGUGAAAUUCUUAGAUUUUUUAAAGAUGAACCGGUGCGAAAGCGUUUAGCAAGCACGCUCCCAUUGAUCAAGAACGAAAGUUAGGGGAUCGAAGACGAUCAGAUACCGUCGUAGUCUUAACUAUAAACGAUGCGGACCAAGGAUCGGACAGGUACUUUUGUACUACCUGUCCGGCACUUUGAGAGUAAUCAUUGAGUUUUUGCGCUCUGGGGGGAGUAUGGUCGCAAGGCUGAAACUUAAAGGAAUUGACGGAAGGGCACCACCAGG